rnacentral:autocatalytically_spliced_intron from 1 species
ACCUGCCAGUUGACGAACAGAAUUCACAUGAGGCCAAGAGUCGGGGACGAGCUGGCAUGUCACAGCGAAGUCCAGACUGGAAGUUUUUCCGCUCGGGGUAGAUGUGGCGAUUGGGCAGGGACA